UACGAAGGGGGCUAGCGUUGUUCGGAUUUACUGGGCGUAAAGGGCGCGUAGGCGGAUUUUUAAGUCAGGGGUGAAAUCCCAAGGCUCAACCUUGGAACUGCCUUUGAUACUGGGGAUCUUGAGUCCGGGAGAGGUGAGUGGAACUGCGAGUGUAGAGGUGAAAUUCGUAGAUAUUCGCAAGAACACCAGUGGCGAAGGCGGCUCACUGGCCCGGAACUGACGCUGAGGCGCGAAAGCUAGGGUAGCAAACGGG
rnacentral:rRNA from 1 species